GGAUGCAGUGUUGGAAGCUGGGCUUACACUGUCAGGCUCUGUCUUUCAGGACAGAGUCUUGGGAGCUGACAUGUUCACCCUCUGCCCACAUAUGCACAGAGAAGCAUCAAGACCUGGCCUGCUUAGGGAAGAAGAGAAGCAGCUUGCUAAGGAGUGCCCCUCUUUGGGAUUUCGCUCCUCCCUGAUUCUACUUUCCCAUUGCCUCCUAAAAUACUUCUGUACCAUCAUUUAACUUACUCUUCACUUCUUUAAGCUUUAAGUUGAGCUGGUUUUUUGUUACUCAGAACCAAGGAGACUUAACUAAGACAUAGAUCCUUCUGCCUGGACCUAUUUCUGGUGCUGAAGGUUCCUGCAUGUCUUUUCCUUCUUCCUUCACACUCUCCCUCCCUCCUUCCUUUUGGCUCCCUCCCCCUUGUUCUCUCUUUCCCUCUCUCUGUACUUCCCUCUCUUUCUCUCUCUCCCUCAGGACUGUAUUAGGAUGAUGCAUUCAGGUUACAGGUUACGGAGAAUCCCUGUUCUAACCCAAAGCCAUUGUCUUGCCAGGAUCCCAGAGCUACAAACUCUCAGCUUUGAAGGAAAAUUAAGCUGAAGGGUCAUACCUCCCACAUUAUAGUCCAUGAUCUAUUGUCAUUAGAAAAUGAGCAAAGUUGGGCUGGGGUUGUGGCUCAGCGGUAGAGCGCUCACCUUGCACAUGCAGAACCCUGGGUUGGAUCCUUGGCACCACAUAAAAAUAAAUAAGUGAAAUAAAGGUAUUGUGUCCAACUACAACUAAAAAAUAAGUAUUAAAAAAAAGAAAGAAAAUAAGCAAAAGUCAUUGUUCAUCCCUAGAGACAGCCUCCUCUUACUUAAGUACCUCUGUCUAGUUCCAUUUAUGAAGCCUCAACAGUUUCUUUCACUGAAAAGGGAAUCACAAGUACUCAGAAGACAAGGGGGAACAAGUGGGUAUUGUGGCCUUUUCUAUGAGUUUCUUCAUCUUUCUUCAAGACUCUUUAAUAUAGAAGAAGAGAGACUUAACAGUCCCUCCACCUGUCUGUCAAGGAAAGUUAAAUGCACUGGAUUCAUUUGAAUCUAUUUGAAAC
rnacentral:lncRNA from 1 species